rnacentral:snRNA from 1 species
AUCGCUUAUGUGCCUUUUGGCUAAGAUCAAGUGUAGUAUCUGUUAUUAUUAAAUUUGAAUGAAUGCUACAUUUU